UUGCCUCAGCAGCACAUGUACUAAAAUUGGAAUGGCUUAGAGAAGGUUAGCACAGACUUGCGCGAGGAUGACACACAAAUUCGUGAAGCGCUCCAUUUUUUU